AAGAUCUUAAACAAAAUGAUCGAGACAUAAUUUUUAUUCGAAAGAAAUAGAAGAGAAUUUAAAAUACAGGGGGAUAAACUUCAAGAUAACAUCGAGCCGGUCGUCAAAUAUUAAUUAAUAUUAAGGGGAAAUUUGGGAUAACCCCCUAAUUUUGAAAAUAUAUAGGGAUAGGUCCUAUGGAUUUUUCUUCCCUAGUCAAAAACCCAAAUUCUAAACUUAAUUUGGCAGACCCCCCUGAACAAAUUAAAAUACCUAUUUUACCCUUCUAGUUACAAUUUAAAACCCUAACCCCUCUCUCAACUCCCGUUGCUUUUCUGCCUCCUCCCACCGCCUCUUCUCUCUUAAAACUCUUGAUUUUUUUCUCUCUCUCAUCCCCACCACGGCUGCUCCUCCGCCACCAGCGCAAAAUCGUCGUUGAUCCACCUCCGCCUUUCACCGCUGCUCCGCCACCGCGCUGCUCGGUUCUUUUCUCUCUCUCUAACCAUUCUUCCGCCGGCCACCAUAGAUCCACCUCCACCGUUCAAGCGAUCGCUCCCCCUCUGUCUAGCGCCGAAACUCCUUGCCGAGCUCAACCGACAACUAUUUCCACCGCCAUUUGCUUCAAACUGCUGACCCUAGAUGCGAAUAAUGACGAGUACAACCGAUGUGGAAAAUCGCUAUCCUUUUACAACAAAUCUGUAGAUCCGACACACAGUCUUGGUGUUCGAACAACUUCUAUGCAAUAAGUUUUUGCCGAGAGGACAUGGUGCAGUUCUUUUGCAAUCGAUAGAUUGAAAUUGUUGUUGUGUUGAAAAGUAGGAUUUGAAGCUAUAAAUACAAACUACACUAUAUAUCUGA